CCGCAGCCAAUGGCGCUCAGCGGGGGGCGGGAGCGCGAGCGCGCUGUGGAGGAAUGGGGCGAGGUAUUUGAUAACCUAUUCUGUAUGCAAUAUGCCGUUUUAACAGUCCUGGACCCUGAAGUUCUGCUCAGCCACAAAACAGCACACAAAGCUGACAGCAGGGUGGAUUUGCACAUGCUGCUCACCAUCUGCUCCUUAAUUGUGUUCUGCAGAGACCAUGUCUAAGGACAGAGAUAAGCCAUUUUCUUCAAAUGACUCACCUUUGGACUAAGGCCAAGUAUGAGAACUUCAGCCCCUCAAGUUAAAAGCACUGACAACAGAUUUAGAAUUUCUCACUAUAGUGCACUACACUGGUGCUAUAAUAAAAUUCCUAAUAUUUUAUCUCAUGAGAACAGUUGAUCAUUCCUGUCUAAUACACAAUAAUGUAUCUUUAUCAUAAUUAAUAUGAAUGCCUCUGUAACUGAUGUCCUCCAUCAUGAACUCUUCAAGGCAUCUGUUUUAUGCAUCAAUCAUCAUAACUUUUUUAAUGUGAAAAUGUUUACUGCAAAUUGCUAAAUACAUUUAUUAAUGCAGCAGGGAAAUCGAUAGGUGUGGGAAAUUUAUAGCAACUGUUUGUUAAAGAAUUUUCAA